UUGUUACCAUCAAAAGAAGUGGGGUGGACGGCCCCCACUUUCCGCUGAGCCUCAGCACCUGCUUGUUUGGAAGGGGUAUCGAAUGUGACAUUCGGAUCCAGCUCCCUGUCGUGUCAAAACAACAUUGCAAAAUUGAGAUCAGUGGGCAGGAGGCAAUGUUGUUUAAUUUCAGUUCCACCAAUCCGACACAAGUGAACGGAUCCGUCAUCGCGGACCCUGUACGGCUAAAGCACGGAGAUGUGAUCACUAUUGUCGAUCGUUCUUUCAGGUGGGUGAAAAGUAAAAACUAGUCAUUCUCGACACUGAUGCACCAAAACCAGCCUGGCAGACGUCUGUGACUUUUCUGUGCUGCGGAUGACGUCAGAGCAUUUGAGGCGGCCACUCUCACCCCUGGUUCUCAAUCUGAGGUCACGAGGGUUUAGGUGGGAUGACACAUGGGGCUUGUGUGACUACAUUCAAGGAUCCGAGCGCAUGGAGCUGGGCCAAAGAAGGGUGACCGGAGCCUCACGGGGUCUUAUUUUUGUUGUGAGUGUGGUGAAGCCGCAUGCAUUUUUCAGUUUCUGUUUCAUUUUAAAAAGACGCUCCUGGGGAAUAGACACAAGACAAGAUGUCCAGCUCAGCUUAUCUUGACGUGAGCACCCGGGUGAUCAGCAUUUGUUAUGGACUGAAUUGUGUCCCUUCUAAAAUUCAUAUAGUGAAGUUUUAACCCCCGGAAAGCCAGAAUAUGACUGUAUUUGGAGACAGGGUCUUUAAAAAGGUGAUUGAGUUAAAACGGGGCCAUUAGGGUGGGUCCUAAUCAAUCUGACUGGUGUCCUUGUAAGAAGAGGAGAUGAGGACACAGAAGAAGGGCAGCAGGUGCUCAGAGGGAUGGCCACGUGAAGGCAGCAGGGGCGGCCCUGGCCAGCCCAGGACAGAGGCCUCAGGAGAAAACAGUCCUGCCAACAUCUUGAUCUCGGACUUCCAGCCUCCACAACUGUGAGGAAAUACACUUCUGUGUGGAAGUCACCUGCGCAUGGCAUUUUGGAUGGCAGCCCUAGCAAACUAAUACACCACCCGAGCUGUAAACAGAAUAUUUCCAGAACCUUCUGAAUAGUUCUUCUAAUCACUGCUUCUUUCCCUCACCAAGUAAACCACCCGAGUGGCUUUUCUGAUGACAUAAAGUCUUUGGAGUUUUGCUACCUAAGCAUGCA